rnacentral:lncRNA from 1 species
GUUCCGAUAUGCACUGCGAGCACUGCACAGUGCUAUCACUGUGGAAAAAUUCGUUCCGUUAUGGACUGCCAGUAUACUGCCGCAGUACCCUAGGGAAAUAUAUGACGUCAUAAAUCGUCGCCAUAUUCUACUGUGAGCACUGGCGUUUUCGAGGUAAGGUAGUCGCAGUACUUUGAUCACGUGAUCAGUCAAAACCACUUGAGUGUCUAACGUUUUAUAAACAAUACCUACAGUUUAAUCCCAAAGUUAUAAAGUUCUGUAAUUAAUUUGGAUUUAAUAAAACAAUGGAAGAAUUGCAAAAUUAACCUUAUUAGACUGUGUUGAAAAUGUUCAAUACGAGCUGAAAGUUACGCAGGAAAUUUUUAAUCGUGCAAAGACCGAUACGAUGUUUGCUACUCAACUUUUGGAGUAUUGUAUAAAUAAAGGUAAAAAUGUGAAAUUAAUUAAAAUAUGUUAUAUUGAUAAUUUACAAAUGAUUAUCGUAUAUAACCACUAUGAAUACCUCUAUUGUAUCCAAAAAUCAGGUAUAAUAAUGUAAUAAUAAAAACUAAUCAUUUUUUCUAUUCAUAGUUUCCAAAAUUUUCGCAAAUAUUUUACCUUUGUUAAUUUGUAGGAAAUGGAAGAAGUAUUUGGCGAGCAGCCGUGGGUAAAACCUCUGUCUACUGCUGGAUCAAAUACUACCAACAAAAUGGAUCCUGACGUUAUCAGCCCACCACGAAAGCGUCAAAAACUUUAACUAACUACUGUGAAGAAUUACUUGCAGCUAAAGGAAAAUAGUGAAAUUCGCCAACAACAUCAUCGUGAGAAAAUUGCAUCAAUAGCUCAAUUAUCUGGUGCUCUUAAUAAGCUUGUGGAUCAUCU